rnacentral:rRNA from 1 species
AUUGAACGCUGGCGGCAGGCCUAACACAUGCAAGUCGAACGCGUGGCGGACGGGUGAGUAAUGUCUGGGAAACUGCCUGAGGGAGGGGGAUAACUACUGGAAACGGUAGCUAAUACCGCAUACCAUCGGAUGUGCCCAGAUGGGAUUAGCUAGUAGGUGGGGGAAAGGCUAACAUAGGCGACGAUCCCUAGCUGGUCUGAGAGGAUGACCAGCCACAAUUGAACUGAGACACGGUCCAGACUCCUACGGGAGGCAGCAGUGGGGAAUAUUGCACAAUGGGCGCAAGCCUGAUGCAGCCAUGCCGCGUGUAUGAAGAAGGCCCGCGGGUUGUAAAGUACUUUCAGCGGGGAGGCGUUACCCGCAGAAGAAGCACCGGCUAACUCCGUGCCAGCAGCCGCGGUAAUAC